CUUACCUAGUACACGGGUUUUUAAACAAUACUUUAAUACUCUUCCGAUAAACACCGGUAUACAAUAAAAACACUGCGGGGAAUCACGUGGUUUUAUUUUGAUAUGGAACACGGAAAAUGGCGGCGUCAUUGUCUCGAUCUUAGUACCGGUAAAGCCCAGGACAAAGUGCGGUUAGGUUAACUGGCAGCCGUGAUACAUAUGUCUCUCCUACCGCACGAGCCGCUCGCACUUCUACAACCUUGCAGAAGAGUCCGAGGAAAUCGUAUUUGAGCCACCAGGUUAAUACAGAAUCUGCGUAGAAGGCACACGCGUUUUGACUGUGUACGAAAUAAAGAUCAAAAGGGAAGAAAGAAGAUGGGCCCAAUGUCUUCCUCAAUGACGUCUUUACAGCUCGGGUCCUUCGGUUUACGUUGGGAAACACGCGAAGAAAUCCUGCCAGCUGACAAGAUGGGCAUAAAUUAACGAAAAUAAAAGACAGUAUGGCAGAAGAAAUAAUUUUGAUCUGACAAUUUUCAAAAACGGCAGUUUGCUUUACAAAUUAAAAGUUAAAACUAUUCAAAAUCAGGGUACAAUUUAUUCACAUAUUGUUUGUCAUUCCUACGUCUUAUAUAAGCGUUGUUUAAGUUAUUAUCACAUGCUAUAGAGUUUGAGACAUAGCCGCCGAUGCAGCAUAUUGACUGAUGUCUAAGAAAUGUGAUGUGAAUAUUCAUCCAAAUGGUGAACAGGUUUUCAAUUUAAUGCUGGCAUGUUAUUAUAUAUUUUGUUGCAUACAAACGAAUUUUGUAACAUUGUCAUGUACUCAAUAUGCAAGAUUAAAUUCUAUACGUUCAAAAGGGUGUGGGCUAAGUUAAGCUGUUCAAAUGUAAACUGCCGCCGUAACUUGGAUGUCUUAUAAAUUGCUGUUUCUAAAUGAUUGUACAAUAAC